CGGCGAGUGAAGCGGCAACAGCUCAAAUUUGAAAUCUGGCGUCUUCGGCGUCCGAGUUGUAAUUUGUAGAGGGAGUCUCGGGUGGAGCGCCGGUCCAAGUGCCUUGGAACAGGAUACCAGAGAGGGUGAGAGUCCCGUAUCUGGCCGGUUGCGACCCCGUGUGAGGCCCCUUCGACGAGUCGAGUUGUUUGGGAAUGCAGCUCUAAAUGGGUGGUAAAUUCCAUCUAAAGCUAAAUACUGGCCAGAGACCGAUAGCGCACAAGUAGAGUGAUCGAAAGAUGAAAAGCACUUUGAAAAGAGAGUUAAAAAGUACGUGAAAUUGUUGAAAGGGAAGCGUAUGUGGCCAGACUUGGCCGCGGUUGCUCAGCCUGCCUUCUGGCAGGUGUAUUCUUCCGCGGUCAGGCCAGCAUCGGUUUGGGCGGUCGGAUAAAGGCGCUGGGAAUGUGGCUCUUCGGAGUGUUAUAGCCCGGUGUGCAAUGCGGCC
rnacentral:rRNA from 1 species